CGAUGAGUAGGGCGGGACACGUGGUAUCCUGUCUGAAUAUGGGGGGACCAUCCUCCAAGGCUAAAUACUCCUGACUGACCGAUAGUGAACCAGUACCGUGAGGGAAAGGCGAAAAGAACCCCGGCGAGGGGAGUGAAAAAGAACCUGAAACCGUGUACGUACAAGCAGUGGGAGCACAGGUUUACCUGUGUGACUGCGUACCUUUUGUAUAAUGGGUCAGCGACUUAUAUUCUGUAGCAAGGUUAACCGAAUAGGGGAGCCGUAGGGAAACCGAGUCUUAACCGGGCGUUAAGUUGCAGGGUAUAGACCCGAAACCCGGUGAUCUAGCCAUGGGCAGGUUGAAGGUUGGGUAACACUAACUGGAGGACCGAACCGACUAAUGUUGAAAAAUUAGCGGAUGACCUGUGGCUGGGGGUGAAAGGCCAAUCAAACCGGGAGAUAGCUGGUUCUCCCCGAAAGCUAUUUAGGUAGCGCCUCGUGAAUUCAUCUCCGGGGGUAGAGCACUGUUUCGGCUAGGGGGCCAUCCCGGCUUACCAACCCGAUGCAAACUGCGAAUACCGGAGAAUGUUAUCACGGGAGACACACGGCGGGUGCUAACGUCCGUCGUGAAGAGGGAAACAACCCAGACCGCCAGCUAAGGUCCCAAAGUCAUGGUUAAGUGGGAAACGAUGUGGGAAGGCCCAGACAGCCAGGAUGUUGGCUUAGAAGCAGCCAUCAUUUAAAGAAAGCGUAAUAGCUCACUGGUCGAGUCGGCCUGCGCGGAAGAUGUAACGGGGCUAAACCAUG
rnacentral:rRNA from 1 species